rnacentral:rRNA from 1 species
CGGUGGGGUAACCUUUUAGGAGCUAGCCGUCUAAGGUGGGACAGAUGAUUAGGGUGAAGUCGUAACAAGGUAGCCGUAGGAGAACCUGCGGCUGGAUCACCUCCUUUCUAAGGAA